GCCUGUUUGUUUUGUUUUUCACUCCAAGUAGAGUCAAUCCUAAUAUCCUAUAUGGCUAUCGUUGAAGCUUUCCAUUUUGACCCGUCUGUCACUUGUCGAUGAUAUGGUCAGAGGACAAAGCUGAGCUGAUACAGUAGCCUGUCUUAUGCUAUAUUUAGUUUUUGUUUUGACCUUGUGAAACUUGCUACCUAUGGAUGAAACUGUGUAAUAUUGAUGAAACUAUGUAUAUGUACGGAUGAAACUUGCUACUAUUGGUAACAUGUGUUGGAUAUAUAUGUGUUCAUGACUAUUGGUAAUAUGUGUUGAAUAUGCUAUAUUGGUCAUAUAAAUAUAUUUGGGUUUGAUUUUCUGUGAAAAUGAAUUGAUAUAAGAAAAAACAAAAUUAAAUGGGGCAAUAUAUUCACUUUGCCAUCAGCUGGCAGAUGGCAAAGAGGCCAUGUGUCAUCUACAUGUAAAAUUUGGGCUGGCUUAUUUGGGCUCUUUGCCAUCUGAAAGCUCUUUGCCAUCUGCUGGCAGACGACAAAGCAUGCAGCCUUUGCCAUCUGCUGGCAGACGGCAAAGAGCCUGCAGCCUUUGCCAUCUGCUCGCAGAUGGCAAAGUAGAUGGCAAAGCCACAGGCUCUUUGCCAUCAGCCAGCAGACGACAAAGAAGCCUUGACCGGCAGGGUUUCGGACGACCUGUUUGCCAUCUGCUGGCAGAUGGCAAAGCCUUUGCCAUCCGCUGACCAUGCCUUUGCCAUCUGCCAUGGCAGAUGACAAAGUGCCAGAUUCCAGUAGUGCAUGUCAGUGGUAGCAGAGGUGGGGCUGGAAAGAAACAAGGAUUGGUCAGUCAGAUCAAGACAAUAUUCAGUCGACUUACGGAAACACAAACAAGAUACCCACCCUGAGGCAACGGGGACGUCCAUCUUGAUGCGCGGCAGUGUCUUCCGGGCCUUGGAGGGAGCGACUUUAGGCUGCUUGGCCACCUUCUCCGUCGGCUCCGGAGUCGACGUCCGAGUGCGCUUCUGAGUAUUAGCACUCGUACCCACACCUUUCCCGCGCCCGCCGGCCGGGUCAUGCUGCUGUUUGGAUCGACGUUCGGAGCGUGGCGGCGAGUCGACUUCCUCCUUCUCAUCCUCCUCCUCGCUCUCCUCCUCCUCCUCGUCGUCUUCCUGAGAAUCCCACUCGUCACUAUCUUCCGCGAUGUCCUCCCCCUCCUGAGCCUGCACCAAAGCCUGCUCGCCAUUGGGCAUCGAAUGCAUCUCGGUGAACACCUGCGGGACAAAUUGGUCGAACGAGAGUCGGUCAGUCUCAAGUGCAGUCGGAGCAUGAAUGAGAAGCAGUCAGAGCGAAAAGCGCACCUUGUCGGGUGGGUUGUUGCUGCUAAAGGGAACGACUCGCCUAGAUCCUCUGGGAUUGUCCUGAUUGCCUGUGAUGCUCCUCAGCCACAAAGCUACCGUUGCAGACGGUACUUCUUCUGGAUGGACCCGAGCGGUGUUGUCCGGUCCGGAAUACAGCCACAUCGGGUGAUCGCGGGUCUGGAGAGGCUGGAUGCGUCGACUGAGGAACACCUCCAACAGAUCCAGACCCGUAACACCAUCGUUGAUAAGCUGAACCACCCUAUCCACCAACAUCCUCGUCUCCAUGGUCUCGCCAGUCGUCACUUUCAGCGGAGGAGGAGUCUGGACUCGGUCAAACGAGAAGUGGGGGAGGCCGGUCGACUGACCUGGAGCCGCGACAUCCUGGCAAUAGAACAAAGUUGAUUGCCAGCCUCUAACGGAAUCAGGAAGAGUCAUAGCAGGAAAGGCACUCCCUUUCCUCUUUUGGAUACCUAAACCCCCGCACAUCUGGAUGACAUGGGUUUUCGAGUCACUCGACUUCGCCUUUUUUACCGAUUGGGAACGAAUGGUGAAGAUGUGCUUGAAAAGACUCCAAUGCGGUCGACACCCCUAGAAGUUCUCGCACAUCGACACGAAAGCAGCUAAAUAUGUGAUGGUGUUGGGGAGGAAUGGUGGAGUUGAGCACCAAAGAAGUUCAGAAACCCCCGGAAGAAAGGGUGCGGGGGAAGCUAAAAGCCGCGGUCGACGUGAGUGGCGAGCAGAACGCACUCACCCGGUUGAGGCUGAGGGAUCGUCUCCCCCUCCGGCAGCCUUGCCGCUCCCUUGGAGAUUAACCCCGACUCCGCCAGCUCGUCCAGGUCCGCCUGCCGAAUCAAAGACCGGAUCCAAUCGCCCUGGAUCCAGCCCGGCGGCAGCCUCGCACGCGAUGACGACCCGCGCUGCUGUUCCUGCCCUUCGCCACCUCCUUCGUCUUCUUUGCGUGCUCUAGCGCCGCCGUCUUGUCCUUCACCAUGGCGACGGGGCAGCAGCGUCGGAGCGAAAGAGUAAGGUGCGGCGGAGAAGCAGAGAAAGAAGAAGAAAGAGAAUAUGUGCAUAGUACAGACGCCUCGGUCCGGCCACCUUAUAAGAGAUUGUUUCCGAGUGACUGACGCGUGCGACCAGGCGAUCCUGUCAAAUCCCGCAACAAUCACGCGCAGUGUACGUGGCGAAAAAGGCGGCGCGGGAAUCAAGGAAUCACUGUUUAUCCACUCCGCCCGCUUCGGCACUCCCCGUCUGGCGCGCUUCCCCGAAAUUUCGUAUCCCGCGGAAUCCGGGAUACACUGCAGACGAUCGCGCCCAGGAUCCUGCGCUCCAACACGACACUCGACACAUAAGGUCAACAGAUUCACUCGACUGUCCACUGAAUGGAUCAAGGCGACUGAGUCGACACCAAACAUCGAUGCGGGCGCUCGGACUUGCAUAAAGCACUCGCGAGAUCCCAAAGCUCAAGACAAGUUCAAUUUCAGCUUAUUCUGCACUAGCACCUUAAUCCAUUCGGGGGCUACUGAUGAGGAUAUAGACAUGGGGUAGGGUCAUAGGCCUGACCUAUACGUCCUAUCCAAGGUCACUACCCCAGAAGAUAAGCAGACCAAGAAUCCACUCGACGGUAUAAUCACUCGACCGUCAUUCCUCACUUUCACUCGACCGUAUGGGGAAUGACUCGACUAUAUCGAAGACCAGGAGUCGGAAGAAUGCACAACGGCCAGGCAUUCACUCCUUAGUCUUCAUGAGCAUUAAGAGUAUUUAAGACUGCCGUUACCAGUAACGCCCUUACUUUAUGUACAUUAAGCCCCUUGUAAUGGAGGUUGGCUGGGGUCCUGGCGCACUCUAUAUAAGCCACCCCCUCCUCUGGGACAAGGGUUCGCACCCCUGUAAGACAACACACAUAAUCCAAUCGACCGCCUCCGGGCACCGAGACGUAGGGCUGUUACUUCCUCCGAGAAGGGCCUGAACUCGUGAAACCUCAUGUGUACAUCUUCGCUAUAUAGCUAAAAUCUUGCCUCUCCAUACCUACCCCCCUUUCUACUGUCAGACUUAGAACCACGACACCCCCUCCUCCCCUUUCAACCUAAAUAGACUAGAGGCUUUUGCACUAUUUGGUCAUACAAGUUUUGGAGCCUCCUCUAGUUCUCUAGUUCUAUUUCUAGUUGGUCCUAGUUUCCCAAAUAGAGCACUUAGAUCCUCUAAUCGUCAUAAUUAGAAGCACUGUGUGGUUCUAAUCUCCUCCCUCUAAUUCUCCGGUGACGAUUAGCUCUGGAUGGCGAAGCGCUGCCGAUUCCUGAAGAUCGUACGCUUGCAAUCAAGUAGAGAGGCCAUACUUUUGGUCUUCCAUUCGAGGGAUUGUUUGUGGACGGUUCGCGGGAUCGUUCAUCUAGGGUUUGAGGGACUCCAAGUACAAUGUACGUCGACUCAUCUACUUCCCCUGCUACUGUAGUCGGUAACGAUCGUGAUCCAAUCCAUUUAUGCAUCUUCAUAUUGUUCCUGGGUGAUCGUAGGAUGAGUUUUUUUUUCUUUUCUACUAUGUUUCCCUACAGUACCAUGAUUGAGAAAAUGCUCUUGAGUCCAUGUGAUGAAAUUGGUUUGGUUCGACCGUUCAAUAUGUAUGUUUUCCUAACUUUGUGUUGAAUUUUUUAUGCAUAUUCAAUGAUUUGCUUCAUCGGGGUGGGAUCUGAUUGAAUUUUAGCCAUAUUAAACUCUCCAUUAUUGGCAACAUGAAUAGGGGUGUCUUAAUCUGGUUCCGGAUGCACACCACUUACAUUCUAAAUAUUUGCUCUAGGAACCAAAAACCUCCUCAUAUUUCAAAUUUAGUAAGUUAAGACUAAAAUUGGAUGGUUUGGAAUGAUUGAACUAAAUAACAAUGGUGAGGUUAGAUCGGUCGAAAAGAAAAACUAACAAUACAUCUGUGAAGUGGAGAUCGAUUUUACAUCAAUCAACCUGUACGGGAUGAUUGAACUUAACUGCAUAUGUUGUCAACGGGUGAUUGUCGAGAUCAAGGAUUGUAGGGAUCCCCUAAUAGAGAUCCAGACAGGGGUCAAACACUUCAGAUCAUUUCAGAGAUGAGGCUUUGUUUAUCCAGGUUCAUGACACCGAGGGGGUGUAAUACCCUACACUCUACAUGCUAGUUCUUGCUCUGGAGACAAGUGUGUAUUGUUAUAAGAUUGCUUUCCUCCUUUCCUUGGCUCCGGUNNNNNNNNNNNNNNNNNNNNNNNNNNNNNNNNNNNNNNNNNNNNNNNNNNNNNNNNNNNNNNNNNNNNNNNNNNNNNNNNNNNNNNNNNNNNNNNNNNNNNNNNNNNNNNNNNNNNNNNNNNNNNNNNNNNNNNNNNNNNNNNNNNNNNNNNNNNNNNNNNNNNNNNNNNNNNNNNNNNNNNNNNNNNNNNNNNNNNNNNNNNNNNNNNNNNNNNNNNNNNNNNNNNNNNNNNNNNNNNNNNNNNNNNNNNNNNNNNNNNNNNNNNNNNNNNNNNNNNNNNNNNNNNNNNNNNNNNNNNNNNNNNNNNNNNNNNNNNNNNNNNNNNNNNNNNNNNNNNNNNNNNNNNNNNNNNNNNNNNNNNNNNNNNNNACUUUAAGAGCAUCGUUAAUAUAGCUAGUUGCUGGCUAUAUAAACAUGCCAUGUCAUCAAGAGUUAACAUUAUUAACUAUUCAUACAAUAAGGCUGGCUAUAAGGUUGUCUAUAAGGUUAGAUUUUUUCCAGUUUCUCUCUAUUUCUUUCUUCUCAUUAAAUGUUUUUCCUAGGAGCACAAGUAGUGGCUGACUCCUUUUUUUUUUUGUCUCUCUCCUCUAUAUAGGCAAAAGUGCCAUGUAAGAAGACUUAUAACCCACUAUUGUAUUUGCUCUAAGCCAUGUGUCACGCUCGAUAAGUGACAAUGUACUCGCAGUCAGUACUUGCCCCGGGUAUGGGGUAGUAGGCUUCACCAUCGUUGUGGCCCCUACGGUGUGGGCCAUAGCAUAGCCAUAAAUGUACUGAUUGAUCGAGAGAGUGACAUGGGUCCUAUCAAGGAAACGACUUCUCGACAUCUUGUCAUUUCUAAUUUGUAUUGUGGAAGCUUUUGUUAACGGAGGUUAGCAGCUAGAGCUAAAUCAUAAACCUUGUUGUACAAGUCUUAACAAAGCAAUAUUAAAGAGAGUUUACAUUGGUGUUCUCAUUCUUUUAGAUUUAUUUUAGACUUUUGGACGAUGUUCUUUCGGUGGGAGGAGAUGUUUUCAUCGGCUACGAGGCGCAUGUCGUGGCUUAGUCAAUCUCAAGAUGUUAUGCUGGCUCAGUCUCUUGCAGAUUCUUAUAAGGAUAGGGUGUGUAUGUGCGUUCAUAGGGAUGAGCGUAUGUUCAUGUAUGUGAGCGACUUCGAUUAUACUGUGCUACAAAAUAGAGAGUUUACAAUCUAACAAAUUAAAAAAUAUCACAAGCAGUUAACAAGUAGGAGUAAAUGACAUUGGGAGUCACCACGUGACUUGUUUGGUCGUCUGAAAACUUGGUAAAAUAAACCAUUGUGAGUCAGGAAACUUGUUAUGUCGGUGCACUUUGGCCACACUACCUUUUUUUUCUACCUUAGAUUUUAAAAAAACGGUCACAGAACAUGAAGCAUAUAGGCUGGAUGGAAGAGGCACGUGCUCGACCAGUUCAACUCUGUAGCCGUUGGUGUUCACGCAACAAGAAAACUGUACGCGCUGCAUCUAUGUAUACAACAUGUCGAGUGUAAAAGUCAUGUUCGAUUACAGUUUCAUGUAAGAGAAAGCUAGUCAAACGCCCCCAAUAUCUAAAUUCUACAAUCAGUUUAACCAGAUGAACUUUGCGUACUCUACCGAAUCUACAUCUACACUACUAUUAAACAAUUAAACAACAUCUUUUUUAUGUGCACCCUGCAAUUAGUCUCACUACCCCGCACGAACCAAUCAACACCACACAUUUAGGCUCAUCAUUCUAAAUCUAACAGCCGUCGUUGAUCUAAUCGUGAUCUGAUGUACACUUAGCAAUUUACCUUGGCUGACCAUACUCCACCAACAGAAAAAUCACCGCGUCCCCGCCCCUCCCACCGCGUGAUCAUUUUGCAGGAAAAAGGAAACUGGUCGCGGUCGCCCUCGCCUUCCUUCGCCCGCAAUCCCGAUGGCUUUCUUUCUUCCGCAGCGCAGCCCCAUGCUCCCUGUCCUCCAUCGCCUCCAUGUACUGCGCCGUCGAGUAGGCAGACGCUCUCCGUCAACUCCUUCACGACCAUCCUGCCCUCUUCCCUAUUCAAGAUCUGAUUGUUCUCCUGCACGCAGAUUCCCUGCAACAUUGUGGCCGCCCUACACGCGAUCUCGCUGCCGCCCCGGGAGCCUGCCAGCCGAGCCCGCCUCUGCCGAGGCCGCUACCACGCGAGCUUGUCGUCGCCGCGCGAACCGGCUUCAGCUGAGGCCUCCGCCACGCGAGCCCACAUCUGCCGAGGCCGCUACCACGCGAGCCAGCCGUCGCCGCGCUAACCGACUUCAGCUGAGGCCUCCGCCAUGCGAGCCCACAUCUGCCAAGGCCGCUACCACGCGAGCCAGCCGUCGCCGCGCUAACCGGCUUCAGCUGAGGCCUCUGCCAGGCGAGCCCACAUCUGCCGAGGCCGCUACCACGCGAGCCAGCCGUCGCCGCGCUAACCGGCUUCAGCUGAGGCCUCCGCCACGCGAGCCCGCAUCUGCUGCACCCGCCGCUGCGCGAGAGCCUGCCCGCCACGCGAGUCCGCCUCCGCGUGAGAGCCUGCCCCCACCGUGAUUCAUCCUCAACGUCGUUUGCCCAACUGACGACACCGCUGUAUGCGCAGUCACCCUGGCAUCCAUCUAUAAUAGGCGAGUUCGGCCGGCCACAUACCCUACCACGAUAGCUGAUCUCCUGGUGUGUUGUUUUAUUGAAGGUAUGUUUCAACCAUUGCGUCAUGUAUGACAUAUCAAAGGACAUACACAAAGCACAUACUUCAUGAUUUCACCAAAAUAUGUAGGCAAAUGUAGCACAUGCAGGUGCAGAAGAUCAGUUUUCAUACAUGAUUGUAUUUGAUGCAUAUGUCGUAGUUCUAGAAUAAAAACCUUUCUACAGAAUAAAAAACAAUGAUAUAAGUUGCUAUUCUUUAUUACACUUCAGGUUCACAAGUGUGUCCCUGCUCUACACAAUUAUGAAUCUUUUGUGUAUCAUCCUUUGGGUUUGUGUGGAUGCUGAAUGGAUUCAAAGUAAAAUACAAAAGAUGUUGAAGAAUCAUAUCAUCCUUUGGGUUUGUGUGGGUGCUGAUAGGUACCAUCAAAAGGACACUUUAUUGCUGCUACCCUUCGAAUUGUGUUAUCAUUUCUUAAUAAUUGCAAUUUUUCAUCCUUUUGGAAUUUUGGAUGCAAGGGAUGGUAUUUCAUCAAAGAUGAUUUUUGGCUUGAACGCAGAGGUACGAAUUAGCCUCUGAACAUCAUGUUAUCUUCUUUUGACCAAUUACUCGAACCAGAGAAUUGAAUAUAUUGCGUUCUUAUCUUCUUUCUGGCUAGCAAUGAUAGGAUUUUGUUCAAUGUGUCUUAUGUACUUGAUAGUGUUGACAAGAACAAGCUUGAGUCAACCAUCACGGGUUGUACAAAGUGAUGCUCGCGGCACUUGCUGCAGGACAUAAUUAUUGUGUCGGCAGUGUCUCUGUAUUUCUUCCUCUUCUGAUACAUUUUAGGUUUCUUGCUAACAUCUGUUUCAUUGCAGCUACUAGAUCUUAAUACUCUUUCUGCACUGAAGUACAUGUUGAAUUUCUAUACAUACUUGUUAAUCUCUAUAUCUCUCUUGCUUGGACUUGUCUAUAUUACUAACGUAUCUGCUCUUUCAGGUAUGUCUGAAGCUCUAUUGAAAUAUGCUCUUCCACAAAGUUAUCUGAACCCACAUAUUUAGGCACAUUCAAGUUACGAAGUACAAAGAACUUUAUUUGUUUUUGAUACAGUAUUUUGAGGUUGAUGGGAAACUAUUACCAAUACUGUGUGGACUCCCUAAGAUCAUUGACAUUGUACGCCUUCUAAUCCUUUACUAUAUAUCUGUAGAGCGACCAUAUGUAAAAGAAAUUUGCAAGAUUCGUCUUCUCCUAUUGUGUCUUGCAGAAAUGAGCCUAAAGUAAGUGCUACUUCAUUCAGAGAAGCUUUUUGGUCUCUACACUCCAGAACGCUGUGUUUUUCUCUCCAUCUGAACUUUUGUAUCAUUUUCAUUAUGUUCAAUGCUGCUAUAUACGCAAGUCUGAAAAUAUUUUCCUUGUGUUAUGCUGAUAAUCUUUAGUAUAUUUUCUCUUGAGAUUAAUCUGUAUUACGACAAAGUUAUGUUGGCGGCUGAAGGUUUCCUGACAUGAUAAGAGCUCUUGUGUCCUUUUGCGAGAAAAUUCAAGACAAUAUACUUUACAUGGAUGUAUGUGCUCUUUUACAUAAUUCACAACUAUCAUCAUUCUUGGAGCAAGUAAAUGUGUUGGUGUUUGUUAGACUUUUUUGUCAAUCUUCAUAAAAGGUAAUACACGCCUGGAACCAUUGGACACAAGUCAUUUAGUACUUAUGUUUAGUGCACUUUACUAACUGAUAGUCUCUGCAAUGUAAAGCUACUCUGGGUCAAAUUCCACAUUCCACUUCUACAGAGAGCUUAAUAUUUAGCCACCCGUUUAGUCAGUGAUAUGUCAUUUUUGUGCACUCUGACCUUUUUAAUCCGAGGUGCACAUGUAGAUAUUAGUAAAGCAAAAAAAUUCACGAUACCAUACGAAAGACGUUUUUAUGAAUUCUCCAAAGAUAUGUCUCCUUUACAUUUUUAUGAAUUCUCAGUACAUAAUAAUAAUAUGCAGGUGUACCGCUACCCAGAGGACGUUUCCCCUUUGUGUUCUAAUACUACAGGUAUCAUAAGAAGUUGGUGAAUACUUGAUGGUGUUGUCCUAUGUAUGCUUUGUAGGCUGGAAGAAACUUCACCCAUAUGUGACGACUCAAGAAUAAUUAUUCAUAUUUGUACAAUGAUUUGGAUAUACUGCAGAUGUUUACUUGAACAAGUAUGUUAUUUGCCUUUACUAUCACAUAGUUGAUCUAACAACACUCACAAGACAAAUUCUAUGGCACAUGUUCUAACAAUAUCUUCAGCUAGCAACUCUGUUCCAGCGAAUGUUAUCAUUUCCUACACAAAGAGAUGGAUUUUGAAGGCGUUGUACUGAGAAUCUAACUAGAAUUUAGUAAAACAUGGAAGUUAUAAACAAGCAAAUAAUAUUUUUAACAAGGUAUGAAAUAGUACGAAGAACAGUUGAUAAUUGUCCCUUCUAGAUGAAAACAUGUUGCGACAAAUGAUAAUUUGCCCCAUGAAAUAUUUGUGCACAUUAAUAUUUGUAAAUAGCCUAUUCUUGGUGCAUUAAUCGGAUACGUGCAGACGCACGUGCAAUUUUACUAGUUAUUAAAGGGAAGGUUAAGAACACCCUAUGCGCGACAUUCUGCAUGCUUCUAUUUAAAAUCCGGGUGUUGCAGAAACUUGAGAGCAUUAUUCAGAGAAGACGUCAUACAUGAUGCACUUUACAUAACAGUCAGCACACCGAAUGCUAGCUCCAUCCCAUACCGAGAUUGAUCGAUCUACAUAUAUGUAGCCGGCCGGUAGCUUACGGUUUCACUAGUGCUCACAAAGCAAUUAUAUUUGCUCGGCGCGCCACCGUGUCCUCCUAUGACAGCACAGGCUCGCAGCAGGGAGCAGACGUGGCCCCAUGCUGCGCCACCCCGACGCUGGUCGCCGCCUUGGCAGCAUCCUUCGCCUGCUGCUUCCUCUCCGUCCUUGUCUUUCUCUGCCUGCGCUUCAUCCACCUUCGCCGCACGUGGACGCCGCGCCACAGCGCGCAGCCCCUGCAAGGUGAGGGACAGGCCCAGCAGCAGCCCAAGCUCGGCCUCGACGCCGCCACCAUCGCGCUCAUCCCGUCCUUCCCUUACCUGCGGGAGAGCUCGGACUGGGCGCCGGCCGAGUGCGCCGUGUGCCUCGGCGCCCUCGACGAAGGGGAGACGGUGAGGCAGCUCCCGGCCUGCAAACAUCCUGCCCUGCUGCUCUGUUUAUUUGGUCCACUAACAAGGUGGAUGAUGAAUGAAUGACUUGCAUUGUCGUUCCCUUCUUUAAUUUCUUUUUGCAAGGACAAGCUAGCACGUACUCCCUCAAUCCGAAAAAGCUUAUCCCUCAAAUGGAUACACCAAGUUAGUGUUACAUACUCCCUCCAUUCCCUUAUAUAAGACCACAAACUCAGUUUACGUUCUUUUUGUUAAUCAAGAUCAUUAAUAUGUUCACAUGCAUGAAUGAAUGAGAAGGAACUAGCACAGUGCCAUUAUGACUAGAAAACAUCAUUAUUUUUGCCUCAAUUACUGCUAGUGGCCUUGUAUAGAUGCAAAAUGUAUUUUUGAUAGUAGCCUUGUAUAAGGGAACGGAGCGAGUACAUCCAUUUGAGUGCCUAAAAAAACCGUGGCACCGUCGGAUCUUGAUCUAAUGGUCCAAAUUAGAUCAUGCUACUGUUCAUCGGCUUCCUCCCCUCCUUCUGCCUCCUCCUGAUCUCGAAUGCCCAGCCUACCCUGCUCUAACCGCCAGCCUCAAGUACCCGCCGUCGGCGGGCGCUAUUGCGCACCGCCUUGUCGCCCCCUUCCCCACCGUCGUUGCUAGCCACCACCCCGGACAUACCUCUAAGCCCGGCACCAUCCAUGAAAACCUCCGGUGAUCCCUUGCAACCCCCUCCCCCCCACACACACCCUAAGAUAGAUAAUGGGGCCACUACUUCACCCUAAGAUAGAUAGUGGGGCUACUCCUUCUCCGGCGAGCUUGUGUCCUCUCCAGCAAAGUCCAACCAAGAGGGAAUGAAGAAAAAGAAAGUGACUGACGCGAAAAGGAAUUUCAAACACCUGAGAAAUAGCAAAUCUGACGAUUUUAUCGAACACACUCUGUCAGGUUCAAAUUAAGCCGUAUAAAUUUUUAAAAAAUGUCAACCUUUUAUAGUUUUGACAAAGUGUAUAGAGAACGUAUCAAUGCCUACGAUAUCAAAUCAUUAUUACUGGAUUCUUGAUAAAAAAUAUUUUCAUACUUUAUUUAUUUAGUAUCGUAGAUCCUGAUAUAUUUUGCUAUUAACUUGAUCAAACAAAGAAACAUUUGACUUAUUCCAACACUAAUACUGCACAUCAUAUUUUGGAUUGAAGGGAUUAGUUGGCAAACACAUGGAGAGCCAAAUACGAAAUCACGAUGCAUGACAUCCAUUGUUUCUCCCUUUGAUACUUUGUAUGAUAUAAUAACCAACCAAGACUACUAGACUUGCAUGUGUUGCUAAUUUAUAUCUUUCGUGUGCAAACCAGACAUUGCAAUAAUAUAUAGUAUAUUCAAAAAGAUGACGAAAGGCAAUGAGCUUUGCAUUUCAUUAAUUAAGAAGAUAUUACAAACCUUAAGAUGAGCACACAACUACAACAAAUUCUCCGAAGAGCAUACGCGAUAACUACGGACCACCACAACACACAGAAGAUAACACAACAACAAUAACUUUGCUCCAGAGAUCAAGCAAGCUCAAGCAACCGGAGUAGGUCUUCAACAUCAUCGUCAUCUAACCAAUUAAGGCAUCACCUUGAGCAUUGGUCAUCAGGUCGCCACCUGACAACACCCCUCAUAGAGAGGGAGGGUUGUCUCAUGGGAACGAGGUGAUCCAAAGAAGAUUAGAACUCUCUAACCCGCCUACAGAUGAAUACCUCAAUCGAACCCCUAUUGCAUCAAACCCUAAUCUUGUCGACUAAGCAGCACCAACGACGAUCACUGCCUAUCACUGGUCCCUACAGCCGGUACGAAGCUCCUCGAACGAUGCCCCAAGAGGUGUGAUGCAUGUCGCCAUCCAUCUGAUCCCGAGAGAAUCAAGGGUUUCCCCGAAAGCUUCCAUGUGAAGGGAAGUGAGCAUAACGCCUCAACGACACCUUCAAUAAGGAGAAGACUCCUGUGGGCGACACCGUUGUCUGCCCCUGUUCACGACCGGCAGCAGGGUUUUCCCCUGACGCUAAACAACUAACCACACACCUGGGCCUCAAGAGAGGCUGGCCAGAUCACCACCGAAGCCACACACAUCGAAGACCCACCAACACAAGAGCUCAUGGAGAACCGCGACCAGCCAAACAAAGCCUGCAACAUAUGAAACUUAUAUCCUGAAUCAAGGACUUCUUUCCAAUACUUCUCAAACUUUGUCUUCAUUUCCUCGGCCAUCUUUUGGAAAGGAGCAUGCCCACUAGCAGACCAUUUCCGUAUUGUUAGACGAAUAGGAUACUUUGGGGAAGAACAUAUUUGAUGUAACAUAUUUAGUCCCCGUGAAUGGCUGGUGAUGUCAAAGAAAACUUUUAGCCUAUCACAGAGUUCUUUUACAUAUUUCCAAUCAUCUUUGAUUCGGCAACAGUUGAAUAGGAGUUCAUGUGUGCUUAGUUUAUAAAAAACAACAGAGUAUAGCAAUGCAAUGGAUAUCAUUUUAUAUGUUUAAUCUCACCUAAUAUUGCAAUCCAGAAACAACCUUCCCAUAGUCAAUGUUUAGAGCAUGUGUCAUCUUUUCAAGUUUCCCGUAACUUUUAGGCAUGACCUGCGAAAAUGCAACACUAUUGUGGAAUCUAGACUUGCCUUUAUCCAUGACACUCAUUCCGUCUUUCAUAAUUAGUUUAAGUAUAUGUACAUAACAGCGCAUAUGCAAAAACUAACCUCCAACAUAAGGAUUUGGUAUCCAACUUAUCUAUCAAAAUAUCAACAACCUUGUUACUACGUGUGCAAUUGUCAAGGGUAACUGUGGACAACUUCCUCUCUAGAUGCCAAUCAACAAGACAUUCAUGUAGAGCUUGACAUAUAACCUUAGGGUUAUGUGGGCAUGGUACAUAAACAAACCUAAGAUAUAAGAAGACAUCUAGGUUCAAAUUCAAAAUGAUUAACCAAACAGUUCAGAUUCACAACGAUUAGAAAAAGGUCUACUUUAAGAAAACUUACCUCAAAAUGAAGCUCUUUAGCUUCAAAGAUUCUUCAACAAAAUGCGUAGUAACAACUAUGCAACCUUUAUUGUGAUGGCAUGCAGUCCACAAGUAUGAGGUGACAACAACUCGAUACGUGAAAUUUUGAAAAUAUUUCACCAUCUUUUCCUUCUGGGUUGCAUGCAUAAGUAAGAUAUCCUUUUGAAUGGCUUUCUUGAGACAACCUUUGAGGGAGUCCUGGAAUAGGGGGUGUCCGGAUAGCCGAACUAUCAUCAUCGGCCGGACUCCAAGACUAUGAAGAUACGAGAUUGAAGACUUCGUCCCGUGUCCGGAUGGGACUUUCCUUGGCGUGGAAGGCAAGCUUGGCAAUACGGAUAUGUAGAUCUCCUACCAUUGUAACCGACUCUGUGUAACCCUAGCCCUCUCCGGUGUCUAUAUAAACCGGAGGGUUUUAGUCCAUAGGACGAACAACAAUCAUACCAUAGGCUAGCUUCUAGGGUUUAGCCUCCUUGAUCUCGUGGUAGAUCCACUCUUGUACUACCCAUAUCAUCAAUAUUAAUCAAGCAGGAGUAGGGUUUUACCUCCGUCGAGAGGGCCCGAACCUGGGUAAAAACAUCGUGUCCCUUGUCUCCUGUUACCAUCCGCCUAGACGCACAGUUCGGGACCCCCUACCCGAGAUCCGCCGGUUUUGACACCGACAUUGGUGCUUUCAUUGAGAGUUCCUCUGUGUCGUCACCGAUAGGCUUGAUGGCUCCUUCGAUCAUCAUCAAGAACGCAGUCCAGGGUGAGACUUUUCUCCCCGGACAGAUCUUCGUAUUUGGCGGCUUUGCACUGCGGGCCAAUUCGCUUGGCCAUCUGGAGCAGAUCGAAAGCUACGCCCCUGGCCAUCAGGUCAGAUUUGGAAGUCUAAACUUCACGGCUAACAUCCGCGGAGACUUGAUCCUCGAUGGAUUCGAGCCACAGCCGAGCGCGCUGCACUGUCUCGAUGUGCAUGAUUUAGCUCUGCUGCCGGACAGUACCCUGGAGGCUGCACACGAGUCCGCUCCGACCCUUAGUUCGGAGCCGACUGCGCAGAUCGAGGAUGGGUGGCUAGACACCGCCUCGGGGGCUGCAACCUCUACGGCGAUGGAGCCGAAUACUGACCUUGUCCCUUGCGACGCUCGUGACUCCGAGGUGCCGGACUCCUCGCCGGACUCCGAACCUCCUGCGCCCCCUCCAAUCGAAUCCGAUUGGGCGCCGAUCAUGGAGUUCACCACCGCGGACAUCUUUCAACACUCACCUUUUGGCGACAUCCUGAAUUCGCUAAAGUAUCUCUCGCUAUCAGGAGAGCCCUGGCCGAAUUGCGGUCAGGAUGGUUGGGAUGCGGACGACGAAGAAAUUCAAAGCCCACCCACCACCCACUUUGUAGCCACUGUCGAUGAUCUAACCGACAUUCUAGACUACGACUCCGAAGACAUCGACGGUAUGGACGACGAUGCCGGAGACGACCCCGAACCAGCGCCUACGGGGCACUGGAAGACCACCUCGUCAUACGACAUAUAUAUGGUGGACAUCCCAAAGGAUGGGAAUGGCGAGGAAAAAGCGGAAGAAGACUCCUCCAAGAAACAGCCCAAGCGCCGGCGUCAGCGGCGCCGCUCUAAAUCCCGCCACAGCAAGAAUGGAGAUUCCGGCACCGGAGAUAACAACACCCCAGAGAGUGCCGAAGAGAACCCCCUCCAGCAAGAUUCAGCACAGGAGGAUGGAGAAGCCAACCCUCAUGAGAGAGCGGCAGACGAAGAGGUAGAGGAUGACAAUUACAUGCCUCCCUCCGGAGACGAGGCAAGCCUCAACGACGACGAAUUUGUCGUGCCCGAGGAUCCCGUCGAACAAGAGCGUUUCAAACGCAGGCUAAUGGCCACGGCAAAUAGCCUAAAGAAAAAGCAGCAACAGCUUAGAGCUGAUCAAGAUCUGCUGGCCGACAGAUGGACUGAAGUCCUUGUGGCCGAAGAGUAUGAACUCGAACGCCACUCCAAAAGCUACCCCAAACGCAAGUUGCUCCACCGAUUAGAGGAGGAGGCAUAUAAAGCUACAUCUCCAGAGUGCAAUACGGCUGACCGACCACAUCGUGGCCGCGACAGAGAGGCCUUUAGGCCCUCCAUUAGAACCGUACCCCGGCACCGCUCGAAAAGUACGAAGCCACGGGGGAAUGCGCCGGACUUGCGAGAUAUAUUGGAGUAUAAGGCAAGACAAUCAAGAUCGAUCUACGGAUCGCGUGGGCACCACACGAUGCGCGACGACGACCGUCGCGCCGGAUACGGCAACUCCGGCCGGGCCGAACACAGUAGACAAAGCUCGUUGGAGCUACGUCGUGAUAUAGCCCAAUAUAGAGGCGCCGCACACCCACUAUGCUUCACAGAUGAAGUAAUGGAUCAUCAAAUCCCCGAAGGGUUUAAACCCGUGAACAUUGAAUCCUACGAUGGCACAACAGACCCCGCGGUUUGGAUCAAAGACUAUCUCCUUCAUAUCCACAUGGCCCGCGGUGACGAUCUUCACGCCAUCAAAUAUCUCCCACUCAAGCUUAAAGGACCAGCUCGGCAUUGGCUUAACAGCCUGCCAGCAGAAUCAAUUGGGUGUUGGGAAGACCUGGAAGCCGCAUUCCUUGAAAACUUCCAGGGCACAUAUGUGCGACCACCAGACGCCGAUGACCUAAGCCACAUAAUUCAGCAGCUAGACGAAUCAGCCAGACAGUUCUGGACACGGUUCUUAACAAAGAAAAAUCAAAUCGUCGACUGUCCGGAUGCAGAGGCCCUCGCAGCCUUCAAACAUAACAUCCAUGACGAGUGGCUUGCCCGGCACCUAGGACAGGAAAAGCCGAAAUCCAUGGCAGCCCUCACAUCACUUAUGACCCGCUUCUGUGCGGGAGAGGACAGGUGGCUAGCCCGCAGUAACAACCUCAGCAAAAAUUCUGGCAGUCCGGAUACCAAGGACCGGAAUGGCAGGUCGCGUCGCAACAAAAACAAACGCCGCGUUAACGGCGAUAACACUGAGGAUACGACAGUCAACACCGGAUUCAGAGGCUCUAAACCUGGUCAGCGGAAAAAGCCAUUCAAAAGAACUACUCCGGGUCCGUCCAAUUUGGACCAAAUACUCGACUGCUCGUGCCAGAUACACGGCACCCCCGAAAAGCCAGCUAAUCACACCAACAGGGAUUGUUGGGUAUUCAAGCAGGCAGGCAAGUUAAUUGCCGAAAACAAUGACAAGGGGCCGCAUAGCGACGACGAGGAAGAGACCCGGCCGCCGAACAAUAGAGGACAGAAGGGCUUCCCCCCACAAGUGCGGAUGGUGAAUAUGAUAUACGCAACCCACAUACCCAAAAGGGAGAGGAAGCGUGCACUCAGGGACAUAUAUGCGAUGGAGCCAGUCGCUCCAAAGUUCAAUCCAUGGUCCUCUUGCCCGAUCACUUUUGAUCGAAGGGACCACCCCACCAGCAUCCGCCAUGGCGGAUUCGCCGCAUUGGUGUUGGACCCAAUCGUCGAUGGAUUUCACCUGACUAGAGUCCUGAUGGACGGCGGCAGCAGCCUGAACCUGCUUUAUCAGGAUACAGUGUGCAAGAUGGGCAUAGACCCCUCAAGGAUCAAACCAACAAAGACGACCUUCAAAGGCGUCAUACCAGGUGUAGAGGCCAAUUGUACAGGCUCAGUCACACUUGAAGUGGUCUUGGGAUCCCCAGAUAACUUCAGAAGCGAGGAGUUAAUCUUCGACAUAGUUCCGUUCCGCAGCGGCUAUCAUGCUCUACUCGGACGAACCGCGUUCGCAAAGUUCAACGCGGUACCGCACUACGCAUACCUCAAGCUCAAGAUGCCAAGCCCUCGAGGAGUCAUCACGGUCAACGGAAACACUGAACGCUCCCUCCGAACGGAGGAACACACAGCGGCUCUCGCGGCAGAAGUACAGAGCAGCCUCUUAAGGCAAUUCUCGAGUCCGGCCGUUAAAUGACUGGACAUGGCUAAGCGCGCACGGAGUAACCUCCAACAAGACCACCUGGCACGUUCCGAGCACGCGUAGCAAUGCGGCCCCAACCCCCGCACUCGCAAAAUUGCAAGACUGGUCCUUCGCGUACAUCAUUACGCUCUGGAAAUAUCAUGGGCAUAGGGGGAGGGGCACGACCACGACAGGCCCAGAGUGCAGCUCAACCACACCAGGGGCUCCCAAGUGUGUCAUCUUUUUUCUUCUUUCUUUCUUAUCCACAUGACUCCAUUCACUAGAAGCCCUGUCCGGCAGUAGAUCUGCCGAACUCAUGAUGCAACAACCAGGGAAGGAGAAAGGCUACGACGAACACUCAGGUGGUCUCCAUUACGAGCAUUACAUCUGUUUUAUACACCAUUCUGCAGCCUACCCCUGGAGGGGGACAUGUUUAAUAGUCCCAUCCCUUGCUUACUGCACUAUUUGUAUCGUUCUGCACUCAUGGCAGUCUUUCUGGAAUAAACAAUGCAUCGCUUUUUUGCUUAUAAUUGCAUUUCUUUCUUAUACAUAUGUUCAUUUAUGACAUGUUGCAUUCGUACACUCUGGUACGGCUAAAUACACCAGGGGCUUAAGUUCCCCGCAUUAUGGUGUGAUAAGUCCGAACACUUUCACAAGUGCGGCACCCCGAACUUAUAGCAUUAUAUGCAUCGGCUCCGAAUCAUGUCUUGGGUCAAUAGUUGGGUUUGCCCGGCUCCCAUGUUUUGGUACCUUACGUUCCGUUGUAUCGGCUAAGGUAGCACUGGGAGAACCACUGCGAUUGCGCCCCGGUUGAGCUAGGCGAGCGCCUCAGUGGAGAAAGCUAAAACUGACCGUCAUGAUACGGCGAGAGCUGGUCGCUGUUCGAGAGGUUUUUUCGAGUCCCUAAAGACUUAUGCCGCUUAGAGCGAGGAACCGGCUUCGUCCGGCCCAGGCGUGGAUAGCGCCCCGAACUCGGUCUUCCGAACACUAGGGGCUUCGCCGAAAUUUUAAAUUAUAGAAUUCUAUGGCUAAGUGAGAGUGUUCAAGUAUUAUAAGUCCGGUUGCCUCGUUCAUUGUGUUGCACGCCUCCCUAGAUGGACCCAAACAUGGGAACAAGAGCGCUCAAGUUUAUCCCGAACACCCCAACACUAGUGGCAUGGGGGUUGAAGCCGACGACUUGCCAUCUCUCAGAUUUGAUAAACGGCCGCACAGAAGGUAAUAUUUUAAAUUAACAAGCGUUGCUUAGCGCAUGUGAACAUCGUUUUCAGCGCACAGGAUAACAAAAUGCGAGUCUACUCAAAUAUUACAUCUUUGGAGCACUCACCCGCAAUCAUGCGGGCACCCUUCAGGACACUCUUAUAAUACAUUUUGGGCGUGCGAUACUCCUUGCCCGCCAGUGGCGCGUCCAUCACAAGCUUCUCAGCGUCCAUCCUGCCCCAGUGCACCUUUGCACGGGCAAGGGCCCGACGGGCACCUUCAAUGCAGGCGGAUUGCUUGACGACUUCAACCCAGGGACACGCAUCCACCAGCCGCCGCACCAGGCCGAAGUAGCUCCCAGGCAUGGCCUCCCCAGGCCACAACCGAACUAUGAGGCCCUUCAUGGCCUGUUCGGCCACCUUGUGGAGCUCGACCAGCUGCUUCAGCUGGUCGCUAAGGGGCAUGGGAUGUCCGGCCUCAGCAUACUGAGACUAGAAGACCUUCUCCGUCGAGCUCCCCUCCUCGGCCCGGUAGAAAGCGGCAGCGUUAGACACGCUGCAGGGCAGAUCUGCGAACGCUCCUGGAGAACUCCGAAUUCGGGUAAGUAAUAGGUAAUUCACAUUCACAUGCUUGCAUUGCAUGAAAAAUGCCUUACCCGCCGCUAUUUUCUUCAAAUCCUCGACUUCCUGGAGGGCCUUGUGGGCUUCGGCCUUAGCGGCUUUGGCACUCUCAAGAGCCGACGCAAGCUCAGACUAUCGAGUCUUCGAGUCACGCUCCAAACUCUCGUGCUUUUCCACGAGAGCCUGGAGCUCUUGCUGUACCGCCGCCACCCGCGCCUCUUGCUUCUCUCGCUCGGCUUGUUCCGCGGCCGCAUUGCGUUCGGCCGCGGACACCGCCUCCUUCAGGGUCGCCACCUCGUUUGUGGCCCCUGUAGUACCCAUGUUAUCCUUGUUAUUUCUCUUGCAACCAAAUCCUUUUCUGUAAGGUACAAAUUUAAUACGGUGUUACUCACCUUCCUUGUCCUCGAGCUGCUUCUUGGCAUGGCCGAGCUCGCUCUCGGACCGCUCGAGGCUCUGCUUCAAAGCAUUGACCUCCGCAGUCAGUGCGGCAGAGGUCAGCAGCGCAGCCUGCAAUCCCAUAUUGACAUAUUUUUUAGAACUCCUGCGUAUAUAUUUUUAGAUCCUCAGUCCGGCUUUUCUUUCCGAACACCGAACCGAGCAUCAGGGGCUACUGUCUAUGCAGUAUUAUAUUACAUAUCUUAACAUUCUUACCUCAAAGCCUGUUAGAAGGCUGCUGCAGGCUUCGGUCAGCCCACGCUUGGCGAGCUGAACCUUCUGAAUCACCGUACUCAUGACAGUGCGGUGUUCUUCUUCAAUGGAAGCGCCGUUGAGCGCCUCCAGCAAGUUAUCCGGCGCCUCCGGUUGGACAGAGGCCGCCGGUGCCACAGUCUUGCCCUUCUUACGAAGGGGCCGCUCGCCAGACUCUGGAACUACUGCAGGUUCCGGUGCGGAGUCUGGUGCAGAGUCCGGGAGGUUGCCUUGCGGCACCUCCGGAACCUCCUCCUCCUGGCGGGUCCCUUCUUGAGAUCCCACCUCGGCGUCAUCAGCGUCACGGGGGCUGGAGGCGGUCGGAAGAGAAUCCAUAUCCGACGUGCCCAAGGACCCGCUCGACGAAGCGGGAAGAUCGUCCUUGGCUAGACUACAGGUUGUAUGCGGCGUUAGAAAGACACCGUGUGGCAAAAAGGAAAAUUAUAAAUUAUCUAGGAGUCCGGAUGUUGGAAAUAUGCCUUAGAGGCAAUAAUACAAGUAUUAUUAUAUUUCAUUGUUCAUGAUAAUUGUCUGUGAUUCAUGCUAUAACUGUAUUAUCCGGAAAUCGUAAUACACGUGUGAAUACAUAGACCACAAUAUGUCCCUAGUGAGCCUCUAGUUGACUAGCUCGUUGUGAUCAACAGAUAGUCAUGGUUUCCUGGCUAUGGACAUUGGAUGUCGUUGAUAACGGGAUCACAUCAUUAGGAGAAUGAUGUGAUGGACAAGACCCAAUCCUAAGCAUAGCACAAAGAUCCUGUAGUUCGUUUGCUAGAGCUUUUCCAAUGUCAAGUAUCUCUUCCUUUGACCAUGAGAUCGUGUAACUCCCGGAUACCGUAGGAGUGCUUUGGGUGUAUCAAACGUCACAACGUAACUGGGUGACUAUAAAGGUGCACUACAGGUAUCUCCGAAAGUGUCUGUUGGGUUGACACGGAUCGAGACUGGGAUUUGUCACUCCGUAUGACGGAGAGGUAUCUCUGGGCCCACUCAGUAAUGCAUCAUCAUAUUGAGCUCAAAGUGACCAAGUGGUUGGUCACGGGAUCAUGCAUUACGGUACGAGUAAAGUGACUUGCCGGUAACGAGACUGAACAAGGUAUUGGGAUACCGACGAUCGAGUCUCGGGCAAGUAACGUACCGAUUGACAAAGGGAAUUGUAUACGGGGUUUGAUCGAAUCCUCGACAUCGUGGUUCAACCGAUGAAAUCAUCGAGGAGCAUGUGGGAGCCAACAUGGGUAUCCAGAUCCCGCUGUUGGUUAUUUCCCGGAGUCGUCUCGGUCAUGUCUGUGUGUCUCCCGAACCCGUAGGGUCUACACACUUAAGGUUCGGUGAUGCUAGGGUUGUAUGAAUAUGAGUAUGCAGCAUACCGAAUGUUGUUCGGAGUCCCGGAUGAGAUCCCGGACGUCACGAGGAGUUUCGGAAUGGUCCAGAGGUAAAGAAUAAUAUAUAGGAAGUGGUAUUUCGGCCAUCAGGAAGGUUUCGGGGUCUCCCGGUAAUGUACCGGGACCACCGGAAGGGUCCCGGGGGUCCACCGGGUGGGGCCACCCAUCCCGGGGGGCCCCAUGGGCUGACGUGGGAGGGGAGCCAGCCCAUAGUGGGCUGGUGCGCCCCCCUAGGCCCACCCCCUGCGCCUAGGGUUGAAACCCUAGGGUGGGUGGGCGCACCACAUGCCUUGGGGGGCACUCCUUCCCCCUUGGCCGUCGCCCCCUUGGGAGAUUCAAUCUCCCGGGGCCGGCUCCCCCCCUGGGGGCCUAUAUAAAGGAGGGCAGGGGGGAGGGCAGCCGUACCCUUGUGCUUGGCGCCUCCCUCCCCCUGCUACACCUCGUCCUCCUCCCGUAGUCGCUUGGCGAAGCCCUGCUGGAGUUCUGCUGCAUCCACCACCACGCCGUCGUGCUGCUGGAUCAUCAUCAACCUCUCCUUCCCCCUUGCUGGAUCAAGAAGGAGGAGACGUCUCCCGUCCCGUACAUGUGUUGAACGCAGAGGUGCUGUCCGUUCAGCAGUUGGUCAUCGGUGAUCUGAAUCACGGCGAGUACGACUCCAUCAUCACCAUCCCCUUGAACGCUUCCGCACUCGAUCUACAAGUGGUAUGUAGACGCAAACUCACUCCCUUGACUCGUUGCUUAGAUGAACCCAUAGAUGGAUUUUGGUGAAACCGUAGGAAAUUUUUUAAUUUUCUGCAACGUUCCCCAACAGUGGCAUCAUGAGCUAGGUCUAUGCGUAGUUCUCUAAUGCACGAGUAGAACACAAUUUUGUUGUGGGCGUGGAUCUUGUCAACUUGCUUGCCACUACUAGUCUUUUCUUGCUUCAGCGGUUUUGUGGGAUGAAGCGGCCCGGACCAACCUUACACGUACGCUUAUGUGAGACCGGUUCCACCGACUGACAUGCACUAGUUGCAUAAGGUGGCUUGCGGGUGUCUGCCUCUCCCACUUUAGUUGGAGCGGAUUCGAUGAAAAGGGUCCUUAUGAAGGGUAAAUAGAAGUUGACAAAAUCACGUUGUGGUUAUUCGUAGGUGAGAAAACGUUCUUGCUAGAACCCAAUUGCAGCCACGUAAAAGAUGCAACAACAAUUAGAGGACGUCUAACUUGUUUUUGCAGCGGUUGUUCAUGUGAUGUGAUAUGGCCAGAAGUUGUGAUGAAUGAUGAUUGAUAUAUUGUGAUGUAUGAGAUCAUGUUCUUGUAAUAGGAUUCACGACUUGCAUGUCGAUGAGUAUGACAACCGGCAGGAGCCAUAGGAGUUGUCUUUAUUUUAUUUUUGUAUGACCUGCGUGUCAUUGAAGAACGCCAUGUAAACUACUUUACUUUAUUGCUAAACGCGUUAGCCAUAGAAGUAGAAGUAGUCGUUGGCGUGACAACUUCAUGAAGACACGAUGAGGGAGAUCAUGAUGAUGGAGAUCAUGGUGUCAUGCCAGUGACAAGAUGAUCAUGGAGCCUCGAAGAUGGAGAUCAAUGGAGCUAUAUGAUAUUGGCCAUAUCAUGUCACUACUAUAUAAUUGCAUGUGAUGUUUAUUAUGUUUAUGCAUCUUGUUUACUUAGAACGACGGUAGUAAAUAAGAUGAUCCCUUACAACAAUUUCAAGAAGUGUUCUCCCCUAACUGUGCACCGUUGCUACAGUUCAUCGUUUCGAAGCACCACGUGAUGAUCGGGUGUGAUAGAUCCUUACGUUCACAUACAACGGGUGUAAGACAGUUUUACACACGCAAAACACUUAGGGUUAACUUGACGAGCCUAGCAUGUACAGACAUGGCCUCGGAACACGGAGACCGAAAGGUCGAUCACGAGUCGUAUGGAAGAUACGAUCAACAUGAAGAUGUUCACCGACGAUGACUAGUCCGUCUCACAUGAUGAUCGGACACGGCCUAGUCGACUCGGAUCGUGUAACACUUAGAUGACUAGAGGGAUGUCUAAUCUGAGUGGGAGUUCAUUGAAUAAUUUGAUUAGAUGAACUUAAUUAUCAUGAACUUAGUCUAAAACCUUUGCAAAUAUGUCUUGUAGAUCAAAUGGCCAACGCUCAUGUCAACAUGAACUUCAACGCGUUCCUAGAGAAAACCAAGCUGAAAGAUGAUGGCAGCAACUAUACGGACUGGGUCCGGAACCUGAGGAUCAUCCUCAUAGCUGCCAGGAAACAAUAUGUCCUAGAAGGACCGCUAGGUGACGCUCCCGUCUCAGAGAACCAAGACGUUAUGAACGCUUGGCAGUCUCGUGCUGAUGAUUACUCCCUCGUUCAGUGCGGCAUGCUUUACAGCUUAGAACCGGGGCUCGAAAAGUGUUUUGAGCAUCACGGAGCAUAUGAGAUGUUCGAAGAGCUGAAACUAGUUUUCCAAGCUCAUGCCCGGGUCGAGAGAUAUGAUGUCUCCGACAAGUUCUACAGUUGUAAGAUGGAGGAAAACAGUUCUGUCAGUGAGCACAUGCUCAAGAUGUCUGGGUUGCACAACCAUAUGACCCAGCUGAACAUUAACCUCCCAGAUGAGGCGGUCAUUGACAGAAUCCUCCAGUCGCUCCCACCAAGCUACAAGAGCUUUUUGAUGAACUACAACAUGCAGGGGAUGGUAAAGACCAUUCCCGAAGUGUUUUCAAUGCUCAAGACAGCAGAGGUUGAAAUCAAGAAAGAACAUCAAGUGUUGAUGGUCAAUAAGACCACUAAGUUCAAGAAGGGCAAGGGCAAGAAGAACUUCAAGAAGGACGACAAGGAUAUUGCCGCGCCCGGUAAGCCAGUUACCGGGAAGAAGUCAAAGAAUGGACCCAAGCCUGAGACUGAGUGCUUUUAUUGCAAGGGAAAGGGUCACUGGAAGCGGAACUGCCCCAAAUACUUAGCGGAUAAGAAGGCCGACAACACCAAAGGUAUAUUUGAUAUACAUGUAAUUGAUGUGUACCUUACCAGUACUCGUAGUAACUCCUGGGUAUUUGAUACCGGUGUCGUUGCUCAUAUUUGUAACUCACACCAGGAGCUGCGGAAUAAACGGAGACUGGCGAAGGACGAGGUGACGAUGCGCGUCGGGAAUGGUUCCAGAGUCGAUGUGAUCGCCGUCGGCACGCUGCCUCUACAUUUACCUACGGGAUUAGUUUUGAACCUUAAUAAUUGUUAUUUAGUGCCAAGUUUGAGCAUGAACAUUGUAUCAGGAUCUCGUUUAAUACGAGAUGGCUACUCAUUUAAAUCCGAGAAUAAUGGUUGUUCUAUUUAUAUGAGAGAUAUGUUUUAUGGUCAUGCUCCGAUGGUCAAUGGUUUAUUCUUAAUGAAUCUCGAGCGUAAUAUUACACAUAUUCAUAGUGUGAAUGCCAAAAGAUGUAAAGUUGAUAACGAUAGUCCCACAUACUUGUGGCACUGCCGCCUUGGUCACAUUGGUGUCAAGCGCAUGAAGAAGCUCCAUGCUGAUGGACUUUUAGAGUCUCUUGAUUAUGAAUCAUUUGACACAUGCGAACCAUGCCUCAUGGGCAAAAUGACCAAGACUCCGUUCUCCGGAACAAUGGAGCGAGCAACCAACUUGUUGGAAAUCAUACAUACCGAUGUGUGCGGUCUAAUGAGCGUUGAGGCUCGCGCAGGAUAUCAUUAUGUUCUCACUCUCACUGAUGACUUGAGUAGAUAUGGGUAUGUCUACUUAAUGAAACACAAGUCUGAGACCUUUGAAAAGUUCAAGGAAUUUCAGAAUAAAGUAGAGAAUCAACGUGACCGAAAAAUAAAGUUCCUACGAUCAGAUCGUGGAGGAGAAUAUUUAAGUCACGAAUUUGGCACACACUUAAGGAAAUGUGGAAUCGUUUCACAACUCACGCCGCCUGGAACACCUCAGCGUAACGGUGUGUCCGAACAUCGUAAUCGCACUCUAUUGGAUAUGGUGCGUUCUAUGAUGUCUCUUACCGACUUACCACUAUAAUUUUGGGGAUACGCUCUAGAGACAGCUACAUUCACUUUAAAUAGGGCACCGUCUAAAUCCUUUGAGACGACACCGUAUGAAUUAUGGUUUGGGAAGAAACCUAAGCUGUCGUUUCUAAAAGUUUGGGGAUGCGAUGCUUAUGUCAAGAAACUUCAACCUGAAAAGCUCGAGCCCAAGUCGGAAAAAUGCGUCUUCAUAGGAUACCCUAAGGAAACCGUUGGGUAUACCUUCUACUUAAGAUCCAAGGGCAAGAUCUUUGUUGCCAAGAACGGAUGCUUUCUGGAAAAAGAGUUUAUCUCGAAAGAAGUAAGUGGGAGGAAAGUAGAUCUCGAUGAAGUACUACCUCUCGAAGGGAAAGUGGUGCAGCUCAGGAAAAUGUUCCUGUGAUGCCUACACCAACUGAAGAGGAAAAUAAUGAUGAUGAUCAAGGCACUUCGGAUCAAGUUGCUACUGAACUUCGUAGGUCCACAAGGACACGUUCCGCACCAGAGUGGUACGACAACCCUGUCCUGGAAAUCAUGUUGUUAGAUAACGGUGAACCUUCGAACUAUGAAGAAGCGAUGGCGGGCCCAGAUUCCAACAAAUGGCUUGAAGCCAUGAAAUCCGAGAUAGAAUUCAUGUAUGAAAACAAAGUAUGGACUUUGACAGACUUUCCCGAUGAUCGGCGAGCAAUAGAAAACAAAUGGAUUUUUAAGAAGAAGACGGACGCGGAUGGUAAUGUUACCAUUUAUAAAGCUCGACUUGUCGCUAAGGGUUAUCGACAAGUUCAAGGGAUUGACUACGACGAGACAUUCUCUCCCGUAGCAAAGCCGAAGUCCGUCCGAAUCAUGUUAGCAAUUGCCGCAUACUAUGAUUAUGAGAUAUGGCAGAUGGACGUCAAAACGGCAUUCCUUAACGGACAUCUUAAGGAAGAGUUGUAUAUGAUACAGCCGGAAGGUUUUGUCAAUCCUAAAGACGCUAACAAAGUAUGCAAGCUCCAGCGAUCCAUUUAUGGACUGGUGCAAGCAUCUCGGAGUUGGAACAUUCGCUUUGAUGAGAUGAUCAAAGCGUUUGGGUUUAUGCAGACUUAUGGAGAAGCCUGCGUUUACAAGAAAGUGAGUGGGAGCUCUGUAGCAUUUCUCAUAUUAUAUGUAGAUGACAUACUCUUGAUGGGAAAUGAUAUAGAACUUCUGGACAACAUUAAGGCCUACUUGAAUAAGUGUUUUUCAAUGAAGGACCUUGGAGAAGCUGCUUAUAUAUUAGGCAUCAAGAUCUAUAGAGAUAGAUCGAGAUGCCUCAUAGGUCUUUCAUAAAGCACAUACCUUGAUAAGAUUUUGAAGAAGUUCAAAAUGGAUCAGUCCAAGAAGGGGUUCUUGCCUAUGUUACAAGGUGUGAGAUUGAGCUCGGCUCAGUCCCCGACCACGGCAAAAGAUAAAGAAGAGAUGAGUGUCAUCCCCUAUGCUUCAGCCAUAGGAUCCAUUAUGUAUGCCAUGCUAUGUACCAGACCUGAUGUAAACCUUGCCGUGAGUUUGGUAGCAAGGUACCAAAGUAAUCCCGGCAAGGAACACUGGACAGCGGUCAAGAAUAUCCUGAAGUACCUGAAAAGGACAAAGGACAUGUUUCUCGUUUAUGGAGGUGACGAAGAGCUCGUCGUAAAGGGUUAUGUCGACGCUAGCUUCGACACAUAUCUGGAUGACUCUAAGUCACAAACCGGAUACGUGUAUAUGUUGAAUGGUGGAGCAGUAAGCUGGUGCAGCUGCAAGCAGAGCGUCAUGGCGGGAUCUACAUGUGAAGCGGAGUACAUGGCAGCCUCGGAGGCAGCGCAUGAAGCGAUUUGGGUGAAGGAGUUCAUCACCGACCUAGGAGUCAUACCCAAUGCGUCGGGGCCGAUCAAACUCUUCUGUGACAACACUAGAGCUAUUGCCCUAGCCAAGGAGCCCAGGUUUCACAAGAAGACUAGGCACAUCAAUCGUCGUUUCAACUCCAUCCGUGAAAAUGUUCAAGAUGGAGACAUAGAUAUUUGCAAAGUACAUACGGAUCUGAAUGUCGCAGAUCCGUUGACUAAACCUCUCUCGCGAGCAAAACAUGAUCAACACCAGAACCCUAUGGGUGUUCGAUUCAUCACAAUGUAACUAGAUUAGUGACUCUAGUGCAAGUGGGAGACUGUUGGAAAUAUGCCCUAGAGGCAAUAAUAAAAGUAUUAUUAUAUUUCAUUGUUCAUGAUAAUUGUCUGUGAUUCAUGCUAUAACUGUAUUAUCCGGAAAUCGUAAUACACGUGUGAAUACAUAGACCACAAUAUGUCCCUAGUGAGCCUCUAGUUGACUAGCUCGUUGUGAUCAACAGAUAGUCAUGGUUUCCUGGCUAUGGACAUUGGAUGUCGUUGAUAACGGGAUCACAUCAUUAGGAGAAUGAUGUGAUGGACAAGACCCAAUCCUAAGCAUAGCACAAAGAUCGUGUAGUUCGUUUGCUAGAGCUUUUCCAAUGUCAAGUAUCUCUUCCUUUGACCAUGAGAUCGUGUAACUCCCGGAUACCGUAGGAGUGCUUUGGGUGUAUCAAACGUCACAACGUAACUGGGUGACUAUAAAGGUGCACUACAGGUAUCUCCGAAAGUGUCUGUUGGGUUGACACGGAUCGAGACUGGGAUUUGUCACUCUGUAUGACGGAGAGGUAUCUCUGGGCCCACUCGGUAAUGCAUCAUCAUAUUGAGCUCAAAGCGACCAAGUGGUUGGUCACGGGAUCAUGCAUUACGGUACGAGUAAAGUGACUUGCCGGUAACGAGACUGAACAAGGUAUUGGGAUACCGACGAUCGAGUCUCGGGCAAGUAACGUACCGAUUGACAAAGGGAAUUGUAUACGGGGUUUGAUCGAAUCCUCGACAUCGUGGUUCAACCGAUGAAAUCAUCGAGGAGCAUGUGGGAGCCAACUUGGGUAUCCAGAUCCCGCUGUUGGUUAUUGCCCGAGAGUCGUCUCGGUCAUGUCUGCGUGUCUCCCGAACCCGUAGGGUCUACACACUUAAGGUUCGGUGACGCUAGGGUUGUAUGAAUAUGAGUAUGCAGCAUACCGAAUGUUGUUCGGAGUCCCGGGUGAGAUCCCGGACGUCACGAGGAAUUUCGGAAUGGUCCGGAGGUAAAGAAUAAUAUAUAGGAAGUGGUAUUUCGGCCAUCGGGAAGGUUUCGGGGUCUCCCGGUAAUGUACCGGGACCACCUGAAGGGUCCCGGGGGUCCAUCGGGUGGGGCCACCCAUCCCGGAGGGCCCCAUGGGCUGACGUGGGAGGGGAGCCAGCCCAUAGUGGGCUGGUGCGCCCCCCUAGGCCCACCCCUGCGCCUAGGGUUGAAACCCUAGGGUGGGGGGGCGCACCACAUGCCUUGGGGGGCACUCCUCCCCCCUUGGCCGCCGCCCCCUUGGGAGAUUCAAUCUCCUAGGGCCAAAGCCCCCCCUGGGGGCCUAUAUAAAGGAGGGCAGGGGGGAGGGCAGCCGUACCCUUGUGCUUGGCGCCUCCCUCCCCCUGCUACACCUCGUCCUCCUCCCGUAGUCGCUUGGCGAAGCCCUGCUGGAGUUCUGCUGCAUCCACCACCACGCCGUCGUGCUGCUGGAUCAUCAUCAACCUCUCCUUCCCCCUUGCUGGAUCAAGAAGGAGGAGACGUCUCCCGUCCCGUACGUGUGUUGAACGCGGAGGUGCUAUCCGUUCAGCACUUGGUCAUCGGUGAUCUGAAUCACGGCGAGUACGAGUCCAUCAUCACCAUCCCCUUGAACGCUUCCGCACUCGAUCUACAAGUGGUAUGUAGACGCAAACUCACUCCCUUGACUCGUUGCUUAGAUGAACCCAUAGAUGGAUUUUGGUGAAACCGUAGGAAAAAUUUUAAUUUUCUGCAACGUUCCCCAACAACGGAUACUUACGAUCUCGCCAGGGGCUUGGCCCUUGAGGGCCACUCCUCGUUGCCGUCGCCAACGUUGGCGGAGCAGACCGGGGGAAGGGUCCUUCCUUUCUUGGACCCUUCGGCCUCCCUCGUUGGGGAGGCCUUCCUCUUCUUCUCUCCCCCCGCUGGGGGAGAGGCCUCUUUCUUCUCCUCCUCGUCUUCAGGGGAGGAGUCCGCCUCGGAGUCGUCGGACGAUGAGUCCGAUAUCACCUGACGCCGGGAACUCCUUCGGGUUCCCGUGGACUUUUUCUUGGCCUUCUUCUCCGGCACCACGUAAAGUGCCGGGACCAGCAGCCUUGUCAAAUGGGCGUCCGCUGGGUCUUCUGGAAGGGGAGCCGGACAGUUAACCUGUACGGACGUCUUCUGCCAGUCCUGUUAAAGGCAUUGGGAGUUUAGAUCCCACAUAGAGUCAAAGUAUGAAACAAUGAGUGUCCCGUAAAGGAUGACAUAGCUUAGCUCGCCGGCCGGGCGCUGUGUGCUGAAUCCGCGAUCUUCGAUCGUAGAUGCGGGAGCUUCGGCGCCCUUGAACAGCACCCUCCAGGCAGCUUCAUACGUUGUGUCGAAGAGCCCGCUCAAGGUCCGGUGCUGUGUCGGAUUAAACUCCCACAAAUUGAAGGCCCGUUGCUGGCAGGGGAGAAUCCGGCAGACGAGCAUGACCUGGAUCACAUUGACAAGCUUAAGCUUCUUGUUCACCAGGGUCUGAAGACAAGACUGGAGUCCGGUCAGCUCCUCCGAGGUACCCCAUAGCAAGCCCUUCUCUUUCCAGGAGGUGAGCUGCAUGGGGAUGCCAGAUCUGAACUCGGGGGCCGCUGCCCAUUUAGGGUCACGCGGCUCGGUGAUGUAGAACCACCCCGAUUGCCACCCUUUGAUGGAUUCCACGAAGGCACCCUCAAGCCAAGUAACUUUGGGCAUUUUGCCCACCAUGGCGCCUCCGCACUCCGCUUGGCUGCCCUUCACAACCUUCGGCUUGACAUUAAAGGUCUUUAGCCACAAGCCGAAGUGGGGCUGGAUGCAGAGGAAGGCCUCGCACACGAUGAUAAACGCUGAGAUGUUGAGGAUGAAGUUUGGGGCCAGAUCAUGGAAGUCCAGGCCGUAGUAGUACAUGAGCCUACGGACAAAGGGGUGAAGUGGGAAGCCCAGUCCGUGGAGGAAGUGGGGAAGGAAUACGACCCUCUCAUGGGGCUUGGGGGUGGGGAUGAGCUGCCCCUCGUCGGGCAGCCGGUGCACGAUGUCGCUGGACAGAUAUCCGGCGCUGCGCAGCUUCUCGAUGUGCCCCUCCGUAACUGAGGAGGCCAUCCACUUGCCUCCCGCUCCGGACAUGGCUGGAAAGGGUCGAGGUGAGAUGUGCGGACUUGGGCGCUGGAGCUCGAGUGCACGGAGACGGAUAAGCAAAGGAGGAAGAAGGCGUAGGUAAAGGAGGUAGAUCCUUAUCCCCUUAUAUAUUGGCGGAUGAAACUAUGCGUCCCUACUGGCCUGGUAAAACUCGCUUAUCUCCCAAGCGCCGCAAUCAAUGGUGCGGUUGGGUUACCCACGUCCGUAUUGAUGGGAAUCCCGGAAUAAGGGGAACAUGAUCUCUACUUCGACAAGACGUGCCAAGGAAAUCGCUUCGCUAAACGCGCUGAGGUGGUAUAAUAAAAACGAUUCAAGUAAAGGCUUGGUAGUGGUGUGACGUCACGCCACAAAAUACGUCAGCAGAUUGAACUUGUGUAAAUAUUAUUCUCUCUACGGUGGUAUGUGGAAUUUAUUUUACAGAGCCGGACACUAUCCUGGCGUUCACAAUCUUCUAUGAAUUAUUCGGAGGAGGAACCCGCCUUGCAAUGCCGAAGACAAUAUGCGCGCCGGACUCGUCGUCAUUGAAGCCUGGUUCAGGGGCUACUGAGGGAGUCCUGGAAUAGGGGGUGUCCGGAUAGCCGAACUAUCAUCAUCGGCCGAACUCCAAGACUAUGAAGAUACGAGAUUGAAGACUUUGUCCCGUGUCCGGAUGGGACUUUCCUUGGCGUGGAAGGCAAGCUUGGCAAUACGGAUAUGUAGAUCUCCUACCAUUGUAACCGACUCUGUGUAACCCUAGCCCUCUCCGGUGUCUAUAUAAACAGGAGGGUUUUAGUCCAUAGGACGAACAACAAUCAUACCAUAGGCUAGCUUCUAGGGUUUAGCCUCCUUGAUCUCGUGGUAGAUCCACUCUUGUACUACCCAUAUCAUCAAUAUUAAUCAAGUAGGAGUAGGGUUUUACCUCCAUCGAGAGGGCCCGAACCUGGGUAAAAACAUCGUGUCCCUUGUCUCCUGUUACCAUCCGCUUAGACGCACAGUUCGGGACCCCCUACCCGAGAUCCGCCGGUUUUGACACCGACAACCUUGAACAAAGGUUGCAGCGAAGCACACCAUUUUCAUAAAAUAGAAUGGUCAACUAUCAACAAAUGAUAUUCAUGAAUACUGAUCAUUAAUGCAAGAUCUUUCCUAGAAUGUUCUUGGUCAAAAACUCCAUUGUUGUCAAGAUCUACUUCCCACCAUUAGUAGCCACCAACUCUAACUUAUGUUGUUUUAGGCCUCCAGGUGUGCUCUUAGCACAAGAAAUUUUCAAGUGGUUGUUCAAAUGUGAAGUGCACCUUUACUUGGUUCACUUAGCCAUUUUUGACAGUACAUGCAUUGAGCAUGCCAUUUUCCUCCAUUAAAUUCUUUAUUAAAUUUGUUCCAUACAUGUAAGCUUCCUCUUUUAGUUUCCUCUUCAAUUCCAUUGGUACCAUUUUCGAGUCGAUGACUUGCCAUGUCCAGUUCCAUCAACAACUGAGCUAUCUACUAGUAGCAUCGAGAAACUAUACACCGGUGAAUCCCUCUAUACAAGACCACAAUGAAAUAGAUUAGUUUCUACUGCAGCAAACCAAAUUGAAAGGUUCAAAAUUGGGAGUAAGAAAAGCGACUCACUUUGCAGCUUGUCCGGGAUGGCGCCAAGGGAGAACAUGGUUGGCGUGUCGCUGCUCCCAUUGGCAGGGGUUGGUGGAAAGGUGGUGGGGUGUUGCUUUGCUGGAAGAGAUCACCUCACACCCUCACAAGGCAGCGGUGAAUCCUUUUUUCUCGGACAUGAUGGGGUCAAGGGAGAACGGGGAUGGUGGUGGGUCAGUGGUGGGGUUGCUGCUUGGCUAGAUGAGAUUGCCUCAUGCCCUCAUCGACGGUGGCGGUGGCUUGGAUAAUGAGACAAGAGGAUGUCAUCGGCGGCUUGAUGUGGGGGAGAAACCAGAGAGUUGCUAGGUUUGUGAUUGAGGAGAGCGGCUAGCUUCUUUGUCUCAUAACCUAGGUAGGUGUGGUAUGUAGACCGGGUCAAGGAUGGUGGGGAGUUGCUAGUAUUUAGGUAUAAAGGGCCCACCCGUUAGGUAAUCUUGCGACCCAUGGGCAGAACCCUUCCCGCACACCCUACGCAUGAAUAAUAGGGUUUCCCAUCGGGCUUACCCAUAGGUGAAGAUGGCCACCCAUACCCUGCCCAAUAGGGUCAGGUGCCCAUGGGCGCGGACACCGAUGGGUCGAAUUGCCAGGUUGAGCCCAAUGCAAUGCAAAGUUUUCUUUAAAAAAUCGUCCAUACGCCAACAGCAUGGUUUGUGAGAACAAGACAACAAGUUUAUAAAUAGACCCUUUUAGAAAAUAGUUAGUUCACUAGUGGUCAAAGAAAUGUUGAUGUGGUAGCCAUGUGGUUGGUCUUCACCGAAUCGGUUUUGGCAUUAUUUAAGCGAAUUAAUAAGUUUAUGGCCUAAAUUGAUCGAUUCUUCACUUGUUGGCCUAAAACAUGCAAUCAAUUUGAGUUAAUGAACUAGUGGUGCACUCAUAUUUGAGAAUCCUGCAAGUCAAAUUAAAGAGGCCCUUAUUAUGGUUGUUGCUUCCAGAGGCCCUUAUUAUGGUUGUUGCUUCCAACCUUAUAGGCCUCUUUAGAGUGCAUGGAUCCGAAUAAUACGGCAAUAGAAAAAAUACAUGAUUUGAAAUAUUAUUGUUUAAUAUAUGCUACAUAUAAAACAAAUCCACGUGAAUUGUUGAGAAGAUGCUUUUGAGUGCUGCAAGGAGAAAUGUCAAAAUUUUAAGAAGAGUAAUAGAGUAUUAGGAGUAAUAAAGUUGAUUAUGUUGAGAGAACUUUUUUUUGGUAGCAUAGAGUAGAAGAGAACCCAUGCUACCAAAAAAAAAAAAAAC
rnacentral:lncRNA from 1 species